CUUUUGUCUGAGCCACUCAGUUGGAAGACAAACUUCUUCUGGAAUUCUACACUGCUUCUGCACAUUCUGUAUGAUGCCCACUACUACUCUGAUUCUCAGACGGGACACUUCUUUGACACCACCAGCUUUCAACUUUUUAAAUAGGUAGUUGUUCAUCAUUCAGAACGCAGCCGAAGCCAAAGCUGCACGUUGAGUUGUAUCCAGGUGCUGUCUCCAUUUGGGCCUGGCCAGCUGGUUCUGCUGUGCAUUUCCUGAUGUGUCAGAAACACUACUUUAUGAGUCUACCUGGCACUUCACAAUGAAGCCUGCAACGUAGGUUGUUUCUCAGAUCCAGCAGACAGGGUGUGUUAAGAACUAAUCAUUGUGUGUGUGUCCCUGUACACAACUACACACACAGUGUGCCCAGAACAGUCAAGUUAUUUCUCAGAGGCUUGAGAUAUAAGCUUUCCGUUCUUCUCCUCAGUAUACAUAAGGGCUGUUCUAAUGGUUAUAUUUUUCACCAAUAAUACCUUUUAAAAAUCACCUUUAACAAUUUGUCGAUAAGAAUGUCAAUUCUAAAUAUUCUGGUAUUUUUACCAGAGUAUCUGGUAAGUGUCUGAUAAGGGUAUAUUUGCCUGACUUUUCUUUCAUGUUUUGGUAUGAAAGCGGACAACUUCAUCUCAAAAGGAACUGGAUCAGACAAACAUCCAGAUUCUUAAAGAACACACUUCACUAAACUCCUGCUCACUUUGGUCCAGUCAUUAUCAUCUUCUGCGUCCACCAAGGAGCUCAGUUUGAAGAGCUGCAAUGCUGAAAUUCACUGGAUUGAUGGCUGGCUCACAUACCUAUAGUAGCCUGCAAGAAUUUUAGAAAAGAGAAUUCCCUAGAAUAUCUGCUUUGGGGCAAGGAGAGGAACAGCAGACGUUCUACCAGUGGCCAGAUGUGUGGUUUUAUAAAGAUUUCCAUGAGAAUUCUCUGGGAUUGAAGACUUUAUCAGAAGCGCAGGGAUCUUUGAUUUAUGCCUUCACACCGAUGUCUUCAAAUUGCCUGAGCAACAUUGUGAAGAUGAGCCUGUCCUCCUUUUUACUCACACAGCCUUCAUGGGUCUUCUGUUUUCUCUUGGCUAAGGUCAAGCAUACAUUCUGACCCAGACCCUUCCCAGUGACAUUCAUCGUGCCUUUCUCAAGUACUUGUGCCCCUGGAAUCCACGUUCAGCUCUGGAUGUGAUGACGUCAUCUAUAAUCCCAGCAUUCCUUGGGGAGUCGGGAGGCACAGACAGGAGAGGAGCCUGGCACCUUGCGGGUUAGCUAGUGCGGAGCACAAGCUGCAGCUGUAGAAAUCUCUCUGCCUCAGCAAGCUGGAAGAUGUUUAUACCUUCAACUUAUGAAAAUGGAUGAAUUUUAGAGAGCCUGGAAAUACAUGAAAACAAGAUAACACUUUGUAAACUGGAUAGUGACUCCUUGGAAGAUGUCCACAUCUGAAUCCCAGAACUUGUAAAUGUGCUAUUUUGAUUGGUAAAACAGACCUUUGUGAAUGUGAUUGAAUCAGUGAGCAUGAGAUGAGGAGAUCAUUCUGGACUGUCAUUAUGGACCACCCUUAUCUCGAGCAUCCUCCUAAGAGGGAGACAAGAGGACCACCAUCAGCCACAAGCAUCCUCCUAAGAGGGAGACAAGAGGACCACCAUCAGCCACAAGCAUCCUCCUAAGAGGGAGACUAGAGGACCACCAUCAGCCACAAGCAUCCUCCUAAGAGGGAGGCAAGAGGACCACUGUCAGUAGCAAGAGCUGUGAUAGCAGAGAGAGAGAGCAGAAUGAUCCCUGGAAGAGAUCAUUGACAGAGGGAUGUGGAUAGUCUCCAGAAUGAGAAAAGACAGAGGCAGGUGUCCCCCUUGGUGCCUGCAGAAGAAUCUAGUCCAGCUAACGCCUGAGUAUUAAUUAGUUCAUGAAACUAACUUUUAACAUCUGACCACCAAAUUGUAGGAGAAUAAAGUGUAUUGCUAUGAAUUUGUGGUUAUAAUUUAUGAGCACGGUGGGGAACCAAAGCAAUGGUAAAUUACGAGACAGGAGAUACAGUAGAUUCCAAGGAGGAAACGCAGCUGCCGUUAUGUUAUUGGAGCCCUGGAGAAAGAAAAAAAGAUAAUUCUAAGAAGAGAGGAAUGCCGAGACAACCAAGCAGAAGACAAUUCUAAAUACCCUGUUGUCAUCCAAGAGAAUUUGAUUAUGCAAUAUUUUAGUGAACGGUGCACUCCACGUGGGCUUCUUCUAUUUCUAUUUUUUUCUUUUCUUAUACUCUCCUUUCGGUCAAAGGUCAUUGUUAGUUUUUUAUAUUGCUACCAAUAUGCCCCAGAAACUGACUCUUGAGAUGAUGUCCAUGAACAUCUGAAAAUCUGAAUUCAGCCAUAGCGUAGACGACUUUUUCCACAGAUGAUUGAGCUGUCUACAUCACUUACUUGAGAAUUGCUGGGAUUAUAAAACCCGACAGAAGGAACUUAACUGUGGAAGUCUUUUUUUUUUUUCUCCAAGUUUCGGAAGUGUUAGCAGAUCAUGACUAGGAAAACAUGGAUUUAUUUGUGGAAGCAGGAGUAUGUGGCAGAGGAUCCUUACAUCAUGGUGGAUCACGAAGCAGAGGAGUGGGAUGAGAUGCUAAGUGCCUGGUACAGUCCUCCUCCUGCUCUUCUUCUUCCUCCUCCUCCUCUUCCUCCUUCUCCUUCUCCUUCUCCUUUCCUCCUCCUUCUUCCUCCUCUUCUUCCUCUUCCUUCUCUUCCUUUUAAAAACCUGAUUUGUUUUAUUUUAUGUGUAUAAAUGUCUUUUACACAUGUAUGUCUCUGUACCAUAUGCAUGCUUGGUACCCACAGAAGUCAUAAGAGGUCAGAGGUCAUAAGAGGUCAGAUCUCCUGUAAUGAGUGAUUUGUCAUGUGCAUGCUGAGAACUGAACCCAAGUCCUCUGCAAAAGAUAAGUGAUCUUAACUUCUGACCAAUCUUUCCAUUCCACGUGGGUUGUUUUUUUUUUUUAACUUUGGCCUCUUUGAGCAAGUUUUAUUUGUCCACAUGUUCCAUACAUUUUUUUUUGCUUACAAAAUUGCAUAUAUUUUCUAUUUCCUUGCCCCCCUUUUUACUUCUGAUUGUCACAGUAAACCCUGAUAAAAGCUGACAUCAGUAACCAUGCCACACAACUGGACUGCCAUAUUGUCUUAAAUUAUCCUCUGUCCUAUAAAUUAGUCUACCACUUUUUUACUGAUUUAGUCUCAUUCAAGAUGUCAGGGCAUAACCACAACAUGGGAUAUUUUACUGGAACCAGAUGUGAAUGCCUCCUAUUUCCAGUAGACUCUUGCUUCUCAUUAGGAAACUCAACAUUUUUUUUGUCUCUUUACAUAGCCCUGGCUGUCCUGUAACUCAUUAUGUAAAUCAGGUUGGCCUCAAGCUCACAGAGAUCUGUCUCCCUCUGCCUCUUCAGUGCUGAGAUUAAGGGUCUGCACUAUGUUGCCUGGUGUAUUAUCUGCAUUCUAGCAGCAUCCUUGUCUCUAGAAGUCAUCUGUAUCAUCCAUUUUUUUUUCUGCUUACAGCACUCAGAGUCUGAAGCUCUGAGUAUUUCCAAAUCCCUCCCCAGAGAUGCUCUUCAGGGCUAAAAACCAUAAGGUCAAGUUUGAUGCUUGGCCUUUGGUUGGUGGUUCAGUCUCUGGGAGUUUGCAAGGUCCAGUUUAGUUGACUCUGUUGGAUAGUGACUCCAGCUUAAAGAUAAGACUGUAAUUAUACAAAUGAUUUCCCACUCUACAUUUUUCAGUGGAAGAAAAAGUAGUCCUUUCUUCUCAUCAGUAUGCAGUUCUUCUCUUCAGUCUGAAGUCAGAGUGGCCAAGCCAUAUUUACAUGAUAGCACAUGACUGUCUACAGAGGUCAUGAGACUUGGGCAUAUAGAGAUAUGAACAGAUUCUGAGACCAAGACUAAGACAGGGUUUUGGUGUGAAGUGACUAAGGUUACAUCAUCCUGACUCCAUUUUGUGGUUGCUUUGACAGUUCUCCACCUUCUAUUCCCUCCCAGUCCACUCCCAACAGCCAUGUCUGCUUGGAAACACAUUUGGAAUUUCCAUGACCCUGAUCAUGUUCCAGAUGUAUUAAUGAACAUAACACAUGUUUAUACAAACUUAAACUAAAAGAACUGAAGGGGGAAUAAGUCAAAGUUAGUGUCAUGUUGUAUCUGAAAUAACUAUGUUCUGCCUAAACAAAUGUCUCCAGGCUACUCUGACUCUCAUCUCACAUCGAUGUAACCAUGGUGUUGAUUUUAAAAAUGCUGUACCCCUAAGGUUGGCACCAAGAGACUUUGAGGCAUGAGCCUACUCUUGGUCACCAGCCAAAAUUAAAGGGUACAUAUUCUCUUAAUUGGCUUAGUCAACAUGGCUGCCUAUAUCUUUCUCAUGUGGGUUUAUUACUAAUAGACACAAUAAUAGAAGGGGGAAAUUAAAAUUUUGAAAUAGGGGUUUUCAACUUCAGUACCAAUGAAGAAAGAAUGGCUGCUGAGCCCCCUUAUCUAGUUGUACUAAUUUCUCUUUCUGCUGUUAACUAGACUAGCUCUGCCACGAAUUGCCCAAACCAGAGCUACAUUUACUAUAGAGAAGAUAUCUAUUUCUUGUUUUGAGCCUGAAGAAGACACAGAAAGCAGCAAGAAUGUAGAACUGAGUUCUUCUGACUACUUCUGUGUAGAACACAAGCUGAGAGACUAUGCUAAGGGCAACAUCUUUAUAUGACCCAUCCAGUUGGUAAAGUGAUAGUAUUUACAAACUUCACUGUAUCAAGGACAACUAAGGCACAAGGGCUAAAUGACUUGUCCAUGGUGGAGUCCACAGGAAACUAAAUCCAGGCAUGCAUGGGUCUGUGCUGUGUUCUCCACUGCUCUGUGUCACAAUGGCGCCAUGAAGCACAUUAAGCAACGCACCAGCUCCCGGCAGUGCUGGCCGCAAGUCAUUAAUUAUGGCAUCUAUCUACUCCUAGGCAGAAGGAAUUGGCUCUGUAAUUACCACCCUAAUGAUGUCUUUUGUUUAACAGACAUAUAACAUUUAUUUCUAUUACCUGGAAGGAAAAUGAGCAGUCCUCUAUUAAAAAAAAAAUCCUCAAAGUCCAGGAGGACUAGACCAGUGAUGACUUGUCUUUAUCAGUUUUGGAGCAUCCCUGAGAUGAUGAGAUAUUUUAGGGACUAAGGAGAUGAGUAAAUAGAUCACUUGCAGUACCAGUAUGAAGACCUGAGUUCAGGUCCACAGAACCCACAUAAAGGUGAGUACAGUGGGGGUGUACCUUGUGCCUCAGCCCUGUGGUAGUGGAGGCAAUGACACAUGGGUCCUUGGGGGCUCUUGGUUGCCCAGAAUGAGAUCUGAUGCAAGAAACCCAUCUCACAAAAUAAGGUAGAGAACAACUGAGAAAGACACCUGAGGUUAACUUCUAGCAUAUGAGAUGUGUACACAGAUGCAUGUGCACCUAUGUGCAUGUGUGCAAACAGACACACACACAAGCAAAAUCAUGUAUACAUAUAUUCUGUACAUCAUGAGUCAGGACUAUAUGUUUCACUGUGAAAACAGUCUUUGCUUUAGAAUUUCCAACCCCUCAGCCUAGAACUGAGAAAUGAACAUCCAGGAGAUCUCCAGCUUCAAUCCAUCCUGCAGUUGCCUGGCCCCCUCCCGUGGAUGUUUCUCCUUCUUGUUAUUCUUGUCAUACACACAGCCAAGCCUGACACAGUUUUUAGGAGCCAUCUUAAGGAGGUUAAUUAUUGGUGUGCUGAUGAAUUGAGAUGACCCAGGAAACAGAUGAUCCAGUCCCCUUGAGCAAAGCUCCCGAAAGCUAAGCUCCCUUAAAUCCUUCUUGCUGUUGUGAAAGGUUCACUUCAGAGCCUGUUAGAGAGGAGCCCCCACAGACACCCCCACUGUACUCACCAGGAUGUCCUUCUGUGUUCUUUCUUCACAGCAGCAGAAGGAGCUUCGAUGCAGGAAUCUAUGCCACCAUCAGCUGGAAAAGAAGCUUCAACUAUUCUUACCACAUUAAACGUUAAUUAAAAUUCUAUUGAAUCAUU